UCCACCUCUUAAUGUCAUACAGAGUCCUUUUCCAGGUCUUGUUUAUUGUAAGCUCAAUACUACAUGAUCCUUUCUACUCCAGAAAACCUCGGCAAGGUAAACUUCAAGCUCUGCUUUGCCCUGCUUAAACUGCAAUUUUUAUUCAACCUCUAAGAACCUGAAUAUAACCUUCACCUUCCUCAGCAAGUGCUUUAUUACCCAAUGAAAAAGGAGGAUCUCUAGGACCGCAAAAAGAAAUUGUCAGCAUAAAAACAGCAAAGAUAUUUUCUUGUUGUCUUACAGGACAGAUUGCUUCUCAAACAGAGUGUCCAGGCAGAGAAGUAAAAGGUUUUUGUGAGGCCACUUCUGUAGAUUUCAGCACAGAAGAAGAUUAACUGCAGCACAGGAACAGAAAUGAACAGUCAGCAUUUAAAGGAAAUACAAGAACUUCUAUGCCUAACUGUCAGAGAAAAACGUCAGGUUCCUUCAGCCAUGCUUCUUUUCCAAGUGGAAGACGAAAGAAAGGUACAGACAGAGAAUCCAGCACCUAAGCAUCAUAAGGCUAAAUAUUUGUUCACUUGCUUAACAUGCAGUAAGUCCUGGAGUGCUCUCUGUUUACCCAAGAGGAUUUCAGCAUAGAGGCUUGCUCCAGAAAGGUAUUUGUUUAGAAAAGAGAAAAAUCCUGCAGAUCAGUGUAAUCUCUGUUACUCUAGGAAUUAGUGA
rnacentral:lncRNA from 1 species